UACAGAGGGGGCAAGCGUUGUCCGGAUUUAUUGGGCGUAAAGAGCGUGUAGGCGGCUUUACAGGUCCGUUGUGAAAACUCGAGGCUCAACCUCGAGACGCCGGUGGAAACCGUAAAGCUAGAGUCCGGAAGAGGAGAGUGGAAUUCCUGGUGUAGCGGUGAAAUGCGCAGAUAUCAGGAAGAACACCCGUGGCGAAGGCGGCUCUCUGGGACGGUACUGACGCUGAGACGCGAAAGCGUGGGGAGCGAACAGG
rnacentral:rRNA from 1 species